GGCUCUGUAGCUCAGUGGUUAGAGCAGUGGUCUUGUAAACCAGGGGUCGUGAGUUCGAUCCUCACUGGGGCCU
rnacentral:tRNA from 1 species